CGCGGCCCCACCGCGAGGCCGGGAGGAAACUUCCACCCCUCCACUCCCUAGCCCCCUUGGCCUUAGCUCCCUGCAACCCCCACAACCAGGCAAAGCCCAAAUACAGAGACGCGGCUCUUGCUCUUGCCUCCCUCCCCACUGCGGGGGCUUCCCCUCCCUGGGGUGGUCUACCCCCGACACCCCUGGGCUGGGGGAGGACUCAGGCCUGGCCCUGCCCUGGUUGGGGGGUCGAGGGGGCCUGGAAGAGGUCUGAAAUUGGGGCUAGGAGAUGGCUCUGAGGUGCGUAGCUCCCGCCUACCAUGGAGUUGCAUCAAGACAGGACACCCACCUGACACUGGUAGAAAGGUGGAGGGAGACCCCCCAGAUGCCAGCAGUUUCGGGGGCAUGAAUUUGCCAGCGAGGCAGCAGGAAGCCCAAGUGCUAAAGCUCGUCCUGCUGGCAGGGGGCUAGGGACAGCAGCCAGGGAAUGAGGGGUCGUGAGGAGAGACAUGGAGCCUCUGCGAGGCUGGGGGCCACCCCCAUGGAGCCCGGCACCCAAGGCUGAUGCCCUGAGCCUGGCCUUGUAUCUCCUCCUUCUGGGGUCCCCCCGCUACACCCUGGCGACGCCCCAGUGCAAAGAGGAGGAGUACCCAGUGGGGACCGAGUGCUGCCCCAAAUGCAGUCCAGGU
rnacentral:lncRNA from 1 species